GUUGGGGUUUCAGAGACAGACCCCUCAGUAGUGGAGCCGGCGAGAGCUCUUAGGCUCUGUGAGGCGAGUAAAGGACGCUGGGACCAGAGCUCGUGCAGAGGUCCAGAGGCCGGCGGUGAAAGGGGCCAUUCAUCAACUCUUCUUUUAGCAGCCUGCUGAUGUCUGGCAACUGCGAGUGAGACAUACAAAAGUAAUGAUCUGGAUACAGAUGCUUCGUUUGCUUUUUCCGGAUGACAUCCUACUUUAAAGCAUCACAUUAAAGGAUUAGGCUGCGGCUUCCCGAAGCGGGCCAAAACGAUCCACUCGGUCGGAGGAGCCGUGCCUACAAAGGGAACUGGAAGCGGUCCAGCACAUCACUCUGAUGUUUUAAAUUAGAAGAAGCCCUAUAAAUAGA